rnacentral:antisense_RNA from 1 species
CUUGAUCGAGCCCAGCCACAACGGGCUGUCGGCGGCGCGGCCUUGGCCGUAGGUGGCGAUGAGCGCCUGCGCCUC